GAUGAAGAACGUAGCGAAAUGCGAUACUUGGUGUGAAUUGCAGAAUCCCGUGAACCAUCGAGUUUUUGAACGCAAGUUGCGCCCGAAGCCAUUAGGCCGAGGGCACGCCUGCCUGGGUGUCACACAUUGUUGCCCCAAUGCCAAUCGCCUCACUUUGCAGGUAUUUGCUCGGGGUGAAUGUUGGCCUCCCGUGAGCUCUGUCUCACGGUUGGUUGAAAAUCGAGUGCAUGGUGUCGGGUGUACCAUGAUGGAUGGUGGUUGAGUGAUGCUCGUGACCAAUCAUGGGUAACUCCACCAGAAUUGUGCUCGGUGACCCACAUGCGUCCCUUGGAUGCUCCCUAAGGAGACCUCAGGUUAGGCGGGGCUACCCGCUGAGUUUAAGCAUAUCAAUAAGCGGAGGA
rnacentral:misc_RNA from 1 species